AAAGGAAUAGACGGGUACCCGCACAAGCAGCGGAGCGUGUGGUUUAAUUCGUUGCUACACGAAGAACCUUACCUGGGUUUGACAUAUAGGUGGUAGAGAACUGAAAAGAGAUCGACCCUUCGGGGAGCCUAUACAGGUGUUGCAUGGCUGUCGUCAGCUCGUGUCGUGAGAUGUUCGGUUAAGUCCGCAAACGAGCGCAACCCUCGUCGUAUGUUACAUGUGUCAUACGAGACUGCCGGUAAAAAGCCGGAGGAAGGCGAGGAUGAUGUCAAGUCAGCAUGACCUUUAUAUCCAGGGCUACACACACGCUACAAUGGCCUGAACAAUGGGUAGCCAAGCCGCGAGGCGGAGCCAAUCCUUAAAGCAGGUCUCAGUUCGGAUUGCAGUCUGCAACUCGACUGCAUGAAGUAGGAGUUGCUAGUAACCGCAGGUCAGCUAUACUGCGGUGAAUACGUUCCCGGGUAUUGUACACACCGCCCGU
rnacentral:rRNA from 1 species